ensembl:lncRNA
AAGGGGUGUGGCUUAGUCAAAGCAUAGCCAGCCCCUGGGUCAGAGUAACUGUGCUUUGUGUCCAAGUUGAUACCUGUGGAGAGGAAAGGAAAGAGAGAUUGAUACCUGUGGAGAGAAAAGGAGAGAGAGUGGGUAACACGAGGAGAGACCGAGGAAACCUGUACUUACGCCGCUGCCUGUGGAGAAAGAGAAAGCGAGUGAGCACCCAAGGAACGAACUGUGUGAACCAGUACUUACUGUGAGCUGCAAUCAGCGAAGAGGUGAGAGCAAAACCAAGCCGAAUUAACUGUGCUUUUGUGUCCCAGCCGUUGCCUGUGGAGGAAGAGAAAGAGUGAGCACCUCGAGAACGAACUGUGUGAACCAGUACUUACCGUGAGCUGUAUUCAGCGAAGAGGAGGAAGAAGGAGGGCGCUACGGAUACCUAAGACUCAGGCCGGGGCCCGAGUCCCACGCCCCGGAUCCCCGUGGCCCCCUUGCUCCCUGACCUCUUCCCGGCCAUAGCCCAUCUGGAGGGCCGAGUCAGAGUUUAGUUUUAAUUGCCCUUUCCCUAUUCCCCAAG